ACAAUGAUACUCCCGUCCAGUCACAGUCCGAGCGUGAUAAAACCGUCGCAGGCAAUGAGGGCGGCUCUGUCAGAACGACAGUUGGGGUGAAACUCCCGUGG
rfam:Clostridiales bacterium 45_37 Ley3_66761_scaffold_4753, whole genome shotgun sequence.